rnacentral:tRNA from 1 species
GCCUGGGUGGUUCAGUUGGUUAAGCGUCUGACUUCAGCUCAGGUCAUGAUCUCACAGUUUGUGAGUUUGAGCCCCACAUCAGGCU